rnacentral:rRNA from 1 species
UACGUAGGGGGCAAGCGUUAUCCGGAUUUAUUGGGUGUAAAGGGAGCGUAGACGGCAUGGCAAGUCAGAUGUGAAAGCCCGGGGCUCAACCCCGGGACUGCAUUUGAAACUGUCAGGCUGGAGUGCAGGAGAGGUAAGUGGAAUUCCUAGUGUAGCGGUGAAAUGCGUAGAUAUUAGGAGGAACACCAGUGGCGAAGGCGGCUUACUGGACUGUAACUGACGUUGAGGCUCGAAAGCGUGGGGAGCAAACAGG